rnacentral:rRNA from 1 species
CCCCAGACUCCUAGGGAGGCAGCAGUGAGGAAUAUUGGUCAAUGGGCUUACGCCUGAACCAGCCAAGUCGCGUGAGGGAAGACUGCCCUAUGGGUUGUAAACCUCUUUUGUCAGGGAGCAACGCCGGCUACGUGUAGCCGGACUGAGAGUACCUGAAGAAAAAGCAUCGGCUAACUCCGUGCCAGCAGCCGCGGUAAUACGGAGGAUGCGAGCGUUAUCCGGAUUUAUUGGGUUUAAAGGGUGCGUAGGCGGAAUGCCAGGUCGGGGGUAAAAUGGCGGGGCUCAACCUCGCUCCGCCGUUGAAACUGGCAGUCUCGAGUUGGAGAGAAGUAUGCGGAAUGCGCGGUGUAGCGGUGAAAUGCAUAGAUAUCGCGCAGAACUCCGAUUGCGAAGGCAGCAUGCCGGCUCCACACUGACGCUGAGGCACGAAAGCGUGGGUAUCGAACAGGAUUAGAUACCCUAGUA